UUGUAUAAGGUUAUUUAUAUAAAUUAUAUAAUAUAAAUUUAUCUAUUUAAUAUAUUUUAUAAGGUUAUUUAUAUAAAUUAUACAAUAUAAUUUUUUUAUAGGGUCUAUAUGCAAUUUUCUCCGGGUACGGGGAUGGGGAUUGAAAUCCCCGCUCUGGAUAAUCCCCGUACCCGGAAAUGACCGGAGAUUUCGAUUGGGGACGGGGAAUUUUCUGCUUCGGGUAGGAAAAUCAUCCCCGUACCCGUUCGUCCGGGUACGGGCCGAGGAAUCUCACUCCUAAUGUCUGGCCUUGUAAUGGUAAGGUAUAGCAAUUUACCAAUCAAUUUUUUAUAUUGAGACGGAUCAUGCAGGGAAGGAAUGGAUUCAUUAGACUUUAGGUCAUGUUUAAGUGGAACAGAUGAUGGUGUAGUGUGUAACCGUCGUCACCUUACCGCGAUCUGUUAUGGAGGAGAUGCAGAAAUUGUUACCUGCGGAGGAAGAACAACGAGAAGAAUUAAUACCCACAGAAAUUGAAAAGUUAAUAGACAAGAUAGGAGAAGAAGAAGCUUCUAUAGAUGGAGUGGUCGGAAACAUUCCGACCAGCACACCUACUGAACAAGAAUGCCCUGAACCAAAACCUGACAGCCCUAAAGUUGCAAGGAAGGGAACCAUUCACGCUGACAAGGAAGCCAACGUGAGGAAGGGAGAUAGAAUCCGUAAUCAGUCAACU
rnacentral:lncRNA from 1 species